rnacentral:rRNA from 1 species
UACGUAGGGUGCAAGCGUUGUCCGGAAUUAUUGGGCGUAAAGAGCUCGUAGGCGGUUUGUCGCGUCUGCUGUGAAAUCUGGGGGCUCAACCCCCAGCCUGCAGUGGGUACGGGCAGACUAGAGUGCGGUAGGGGAGAUUGGAAUUCCUGGUGUAGCGGUGGAAUGCGCAGAUAUCAGGAGGAACACCGAUGGCGAAGGCGGAUCUCUGGGCCGUAACUGACGCUGAGGAGCGAAAGCAUGGGGAGCGAACAGG